GGGCCUCUAGCUCAUGCUGGUUAGAGCAGCGGACUCAUAAUCCGUUGGUACCCGGUUCGACUCCGGGGAGGCCCACCA
rnacentral:tRNA from 4 species